AACGAACGCUGGCGGCAGGCUUAACACAUGCAAGUCGAACGCCCCGCAAGGGGAGUGGCAGACGGGUGAGUAACGCGUGGGAAUCUACCCAGUUCUACGGAAUAACCCAGGGAAACUUGGACUAAUACCGUAUACGCCCUACGGGGGAAAGAUUUAUCGGAAUUGGAUGAGCCCGCGUUGGAUUAGCUAGUUGGUGGGGUAAUGGCCUACCAAGGCGACGAUCCAUAGCUGGUCUGAGAGGAUGAUCAGCCACACUGGGACUGAGACACGGCCCAGACUCCUACGGGAGGCAGCAGUGGGGAAUAUUGGACAAUGGGCGCAAGCCUGAUCCAGCCAUGCCGCGUGAGUGAUGAAGGCCUUAGGGUUGUAAAGCUCUUUCAGUGGGGAAGAUAAUGACGGUACCCACAGAAGAAGCCCCGGCUAACUUCGUGCCAGCCGCCGCGGUAACAC
rnacentral:rRNA from 1 species